rnacentral:rRNA from 1 species
GACGAACGCUGGCGGCGUGCUUAACACAUGCAAGUCGAACGGAAAGGCCCUGCUUUUGUGGGGUGCUCGAGUGGCGAACGGGUGAGUAACACGUGAGUAACCUGCCCUUGACUUUGGGAUAACUUCAGGAAACUGGGGCUAAUACCGGAUAGGAGCUCCUGCUGCAUGGUGGGGGUUGGAAAGUUUCGGCGGUUGGGGAUGGACUCGCGGCUUAUCAGCUUGUUGGUGGGGUAGUGGCUUACCAAGGCUUUGACGGGUAGCCGGCCUGAGAGGGUGACCGGCCACAUUGGGACUGGGAUACGGCCCAGACUCCUACGGGAGGCAGAAGUGGGGAAUAUUGCACAAUGGGCGGAAGCCUGAUGCAGCAACGCCGCGUGCGGGAUGACGGCCUUCGGGUUGUAAACCGCUUUCGCCUGUGACGAAGCGUGAGUGACGGUAAUGGGUAAAGAAGCACCGGCUAACUACGUG